UACGAGGGGUGCAAGCGUUGCUCGGAAUUAUUGGGCGUAAAGGGCAGGUAGGUGGUCUUGUUUGUCUGGGGUGAAAUCCCGGGGCUUAACCCCGGAAGUGCCCCAGAAACGGCAAGACUAGAGUCCUGGAGAGGGUCGUGGAAUUCCCGGUGUAGCGGUGAAAUGCGUAGAGAUCGGGAGGAACACCAGAGGCGAAGGCGGCGACCUGGACAGGUACUGACACUCAACUGCGAAAGCGUGGGUAGCAAACAGG
rnacentral:misc_RNA from 1 species